CAAAAACAUCACCUCUUGCCAAAAAACACAAGUAUAAGAGGCCCAGCCUGCCCAGUGACACAUGUUCAACGGCCGCGGUAUUCUGACCGUGCAAAGGUAGCGUAAUCACUUGUCCUUUAAAUAAAGACUGGUAUGAAAGGCACCACGAAGGUUCAACUGUCUCCCCCAUCCAGUCAGUGAAACUGAUCUCCCCGUGCAAAAGCAGGGAUAAACACACAAGACGAGAAGACCCUAUGGAGCUUAAAACACCAGGCAACUGCUUUUAAACCACAACCAAAAGGUGAAAUCAUUAACCAAGCAAACAUGACCAAAUGUUUUCGGUUGGGGCGACCACGGAGAAUAAAAAAUCCUCCGAGAAGAAAAGGACUACGUCCUAAGUCACGAACAACAACUCCAAACAUCAGAACCUCUGACCACCUUUGACCCAGUCUAACUGAUCAACGAACCAAGUUACCCUAGGGAUAACAGCGCAAUCUACUUAGAAAGUUCAUAUCGACAAGUAGGUUUACGACCUCGAUGUUGGAUCAGGGCGCCCAAGUGGUGCAACCGCUACUAAAGGUCCGUUUGUUCAACGAUUAAAGCCCU
rnacentral:rRNA from 1 species